UACGAAGGGGGCAAGCGUUGUUCGGAAUUACUGGGCGUAAAGGGCGCGCAGGCGGCCUGACAAGUCAGAUGUGAAAGCCCCGGGCUCAACCUGGGAAUAGCAUUUGGGACUGUUGGGCUAGAGAUCGGGAGAGGAGAGUGGAAUUCCCAGUGUAGAGGUGAAAUUCGUAGAUAUUGGGAAGAACACCGGUGGCGAAGGCGGCUCUCGUCGGACCGAUACGU
rnacentral:rRNA from 1 species